rnacentral:rRNA from 1 species
AUUGAACGCUAGCGGGAUGCUUUACACAUGCAAGUCGAACGAGUGGCGGACGGGUGAGUAAUAUAUGGGAACGUGCCCAGUAGCGGGGGAUAACUACUCGAAAGAGUGGCUAAUACCGCAUACUAUUCGAGUGGCCGCUAUCGGAUUUGCUAGUUGGUGGGGUAAAGGCUACCAACGGCAACGAUCCGUAGCUGGUUUGAGAGGACGACCAGCAACACUGGGACGGAGACACGGCCCAGACUCCGCAGGAAGGCAGCAGUGGGGAAUUUUGGACAAUGGGGGAAACCCUGAUGCAGCCAUCCCGCGUGUAUGAGAAGGCCUUCGGGUUGUAAAGUACUUUUGGCAGAGAGGCGGUAUCGGCAGAAUAAGCACCGGCUAACUACGUGCCAGCAGCCGCGGUAAGUC